GCUAUUUUGAAGGAGAAUUUCAAGCUUGACAAAUACGUCUUUCAUGGCGGUUAGAAAAACCAAUCUUCCUUAACGAGGAAAGGGUUACAGACAAGGGGCUUAUGGUAGUGAAAAUAGCAACACUACUCUAUCUCUCUUGUCUCUUCUCUUUCUUUAAAGAAUAGUAAGUCUUAUUUGCCAGGCUUGUUAUUCUCCUUCGAUGGCCUGAAAUGGUAAGAGGCGAUGAUUGGUGCCUCCGAGUCUGAGUUUGAGAAUGGAACAGAUCUCUGAUCGGUGACUCGCGGCCGACUCACUGAGUUUGUUUGUGUAGAGAUUCAUUCCCAAUUUUUGCAUCUUUCCGCAAUUAGGGCUCCUGAAAUUUUUUACUCUUUCUUAGCUAGUUGAAAAGGCGAAUAUUUUCCUAAACCCUUUGCUGAAAUAUUUAUAAUCUUUCAUUUUUAUGCUUUAACAAGUUAUAAAAACAUCGAAUAUUUUGUUUAUGUUCUUCACCUUACUUUUGUGUUUCCACACGAUGUUAGAACAUGAUUUCGUUAGUUUACUAGAUAAUUCUUCGGAAAGCUUCUCUAAGAUUGUUGCAAUUUUGUUCUAGUUAUAUUUAUGCUCAUAUUCCAUUUUUCUCUAAUUCUAGGGUUUCUGAAAUCCGAUUUUUCCCGAAGCCCCUCCUUUCUUUAUUUCGUGAUUUGUUCUAAUUUGUUUUGUGAGAGUAAAAAAUUUGUCCUGUCCUAUCAACCUUAUUUUUGUCUGAGAUUAGUGCAAUUUUGUUCUUAGUUUUAUUGAGUGCUAAAGUUCUUGAAAUUUUUGUUUCAUGGGUAUGAUUAAGGCGUCUAUAGUUGUUUCUGAUGUUAAUUUGUUGAAUUCUUACUGCAAGUUUGCUCUAUGGUUUUGGUGCACGAACUACACACGUUGGUUAUCUAUAUAUGUUUUGUCCUAUUUCAUAAAAUUAAUUUAGAAUAUUUGGGUGUAGGUCUGUUGAUAGUUGGUAAGUUAAUGAGAGUUCACCAUUGUGUAGGUAAAUGUAGUUGAUUGCUCUUCUUCAUUUAUAUUGAAUUCGAGGCUUGUGAACAGAGUCUUCAGUCAUGCUUUCUAAUUUCAAUUUUAAUGAAUAGAAAAAAUUCUUAUUCCUUUUUUCUCCUCACAUUAAUGAUAAGGCAAGGAGAUUGGUCUUCAUGUUACAGGUUUGUUGAUACCUUGAUAGAGAGAUAUGUUUAUUUGGAAAUGUAUUAAUUGGUUUUCCAUGCUCAGCCCUAAUUAACAUUAAGUUUUGCUCAUUACAUUGUUCAUGGUAUAUUUAAGCUACGCCCUACCAUGAAAGUAUGGCAAAACUCUUAUUAUUCCUUAAUUUCUUGACAAGGAAAUUUUGGUUAUAUUGUACGUGCGAUUUGGCAUGAGUCAUGUACGCGUAGAAGCCAUUGUCAUGCUUAUGUUCACUUGUUAAUGAGUACUAACCUAUUUUUAAUGCCUUUUUUUCAUUGACUUUCUAUUUGGCAUUAAAUGUUUAUAUUUUUAACUAGAUUCGGAACCAACACUACCAUGCUAUGAUAAAUAUAUUACGGGGUUGUUCUUGUCUACUGCAUAAUGUGACCCCACUACAGGAGAUGUGGGUAGAGUUGUUCUUGAUAUGAGUUCUUUUUAUAUGUCUUGACACAAUGCAGGUUCUCGUAGGUAUGACUUUAAAUUUCACACAUAAUUAAAUGCACAUGUGUACUUUUGUCUUGCGCCCCUCAUGUCAAAAGAGUUUCUUUAACAAUUAGCAAGCAUAGGUGAUAAGUGUGUGAGGCUUCUUCAUGUUUGGGGAGUAGCAAUGCAGACAUCCUUUUGCUGGCUGAAGAAAUAAGCUACUUCCACGGUAAUUGCUUCAUUGAUCUUAAUAUGCUGGCUGGAGUCUGGACAAACUUAAGUGUUAGAUCUGUCUGGAAUCUUCUUAUGGGAAUUAGCUCUCAUAGUGGCACUGUCUAGUUUCUACACUUGCUCUUGUUUAAUGCUAGCGUUUCGUAGCUGAAUGCAGAUGCGAUCCGAGGACUAUAAUGCAACAGAAUUCUCAAAUUAUUCUUCUAUCUCAGUUUUUGAGUUGUUUGAAUUGUAAGGGGAGUCGUAACCCUCGAUUGAGCGGUGAGUCGAGUGCCUGUCUUCCUCCACUGCCGUUGCCAGAGGCCAUCCCAAUAGUGGCGGCAGUGGUUUAUUUUUUCAUCUUUGGGCCGGAAAACUCCCCUACUUAGAGCAACUCCAAGGGGGAGGAUAAAUGAGAAGGUAAAGCAUGAUAACUACCAAAUUUACCUCUUUUUAUGGAAAAACAUUCUCCAAGGGAGAAGGUAAAUGGGGAGGUAUUAUACCUUUUCCCAUUUUGAGGAGGUAUCUUUACCUCUCCAUGGAAGAGAAGGUAGGAGUAAAAUAGAAAUAACUGAUUUUGAGAUUGGCGGGAGAGAGAAGCGACACAAUCUGUUUUCAUUUGCAGGCAUUAAGCAUAAAUUACUUCAUGAUUA